UACGUAGGGGGCAAGCGUUAUCCAGAUUUACUGGGCGUAAAGCGCGUGUAGGCGGCUGGUUAGGUGUGAUGUGAAAUCUUCGGGCUCAACCCGAAAACUGCAUUGCAAACCGGCCUGGCUAGAGUGCAGGAGAGGGAAGCGGAAUUCCAGGUGUAGCGGUGAAAUGCGUAGAUAUCUGGAGGAACACCGGUGGCGAAGGCGGCAUCCUGGACCAACACUGACACUGAGGAGCGAAAGCCAGGGGAGCAAACGGG
rnacentral:rRNA from 1 species